rnacentral:rRNA from 1 species
UGAUAUAGGAGGAGUCUGCGGCACAUUAGCUAGUAGGUGAGGUAAGAGCUCACCUAGGCGACGAUGUGUAGCCGGUCUGAGAGGAUGAACGGCCACAAUGGAACUGAGACACGGUCCAUACUCCUACGGGAGGCAGCAGUGGGGAAUAUUGCACAAUGGGGGAAACCCUGAUGCAGCAACGCCGCGUGAGUGAAGAAGGUUUUCGGAUUGUAAAGCUCUGUUAGCAGGGAAGAGGAAGGACGGUACCUGCAGAGGAAGCCACGGCUAACUACGUGCCAGCAGCCGCGGUAAUACGUAGGUGGCAAGCGUUGUUCGGAAUAACUGGGCGUAAAGGAUGCGUAGGCGGUUGAGUAAGUUAUGUGUUAAAUAUAUAGGCUUAACCUGUAGAAAGCACAUAAAACUGUUUAACUAGAGUGCAGGAGAGGUAAGUGGAAUUCCUAGUGUAGCGGUGAAAUGCGUAGAGAUUAGGAAGAACACCAGUGGCGAAGGCGACUUACUGGACUGUAACUGACGCUGAGGCACGAGAGCAUGGGGAGCAAACAGGAUUAGAUACCCUGGUAGUCCAUGCUGUAAACGAUGGGUACUAGGUGUGGGUUGUGAAUAACAAUCCGUGCCGUCGCAAACGCAAUAA